GGUCCCAUCCCGAACCCGGAAGUUAAGCCCGCCAGCGCCGAUGGUACUGCACUGGCAACGGUGUGGGAGAGUAGGUCAUCGCCAGGA
rnacentral:rRNA from 1 species